CAUGACACUAAUUGGCCCCCCAGGGCCUCGUGGAAUGGCAGGACCACCAGGGAAAAAGGGAAAAACAGGUCUUGAUGGAUUUAAAGGUGAGCCUGGUCCAAGAGGACCUAUUGGAUUUCCUGGAGCCAAAGGAUCAGCUGGGGAACCAGGAGACAGAGGCCAGAAAGGUGAGAGAGGAGAUUCGGGCAUGGGACUCCCUGGCCCAGAUGGACCUCAAGGCUUUAGA